UACGUAGGGUGCAAGCGUUAAUCGGAAUUACUGGGCGUAAAGCGUGCGCAGGCGGUUUUGUAAGUCUGUCGUGAAAGCCCCCGGGCUUAACCUGGGAAUUGCGUUGGAGACUGCAAGGCUUGAAUCUGGCAGAGGGGGGUAGAAUUCCACGUGUAGCAGUGAAAUGCGUAGAGAUGUGGAGGAACACCGAUGGCGAAGGCAGCCCCCUGGGUCAAGAUUGACGCUCAUGCACGAAAGCGUGGGGAGCAAACAGG
rnacentral:rRNA from 1 species